rnacentral:rRNA from 1 species
GACGAACGCUGGCGGCGUGCUUAACACAUGCAAGUCGAGCGGGAUCCAACCGGUGGCAACACCGGGGAAGAUCUAGCGGCGAACGGGUGAGUAACACGUGAGCAACCUGCCCCGAAGACUGGGAUAACACCGGGAAACCGGUGCUAAUACCGGAUGUCGUCAUUAGGCCGCAUGACCUGAUGAUGAAAGGAUUCAUCGCUUCGGGAGGGGCUCGCGGGCUAUCAGCUUGNGGGUGGGGUAACGGCCUACCAAGGCGACGACGGCUAGCUGGUCUGAGAGGACGACCAGCCACACUGGGACUGAGACACGGCCCAGACUCCUACGGGAGGCAGCAGUGGGGAAUCUUGCGCAAUGGGCGAAAGCCUGACGCAGCAACGCCGC